rnacentral:rRNA from 1 species
CACGUAGGGCGCGAGCGUUGUCCGGAAUUAUUGGGCGUAAAGAGCUCGUAGGCGGCCUGUUGCGUCCGCUGUGAAAGCCCGGGGCUUAACCCCGGGUCGGCAGUGGAUACGGGCAGGCUAGAGGUAGGUAGGGGAGAUCGGAAUUCCUGGUGUAGCGGUGAAAUGCGCAGAUAUCAGGAGGAACACCGGUGGCGAAGGCGGAUCUCUGGGCCAUUACUGACGCUGAGGAGCGAAAGCGUGGGGAGCGAACAGG